ensembl:lncRNA
UUCUGUGAUUCUCAUGACUGUGUCAUUGUCUCUUCAGAUUUUUUCACCUUUAAUAUUGGGAAAAGAGAGGAGGUAAAGGUUCAAUACCAAAACAAAAAAGAAAUGAAAGGGCAAUUGGUUGAACAAGAAAUCAUCUCAUACUUCAUGACUGAUCCCGCUGAGCAGCAGUAAGCACUGCAAAUGAGAUGGCCGAUUCUGAUGUGAGUGCACAGUAUCCCACAGACUAGAGGAUGAUGACUGACUGAUACAAGUUUGCAGCAGGAGGAUAUUUAUCCUACACAUAUAGUGACCUCCUCCAGAUUCCUAUUCACAGUGGAAUAAUCAGUUUCUUUCACUUUUUUUUUUUACACUGGGUCCUAACAGAAACUGAAAUGUCUGGACAGCCUAAAAGGAAUGAAUUUUUCCUGCUAAGCAACGAUGACAGCAGAUAUAAAUGCUCAUGUCCCUGUCAGCAUCUAAAAUCCUGCUUGCAACUGAGCAGGAUGACAGCACACCCCAGCCACGGCUUUUCCCAUAGAGCAUGGCCAAGCGACUGGAUGUGCCUUUGGGCAUCAAGAGCUGACUCCCUGUGCUUGACUUUGCAGUUCCAUAAGGAGGAUUUUUCUUCUGUUCACACACACAAUGUAAUCACUCCACUUGGCAAUGUAAGAAAAAUCUCAUUGCAUAAGCAUUCCAUCUCUGCUUACUGCAGUAGAAUCGGCAGAAGGGAAAGCAAGUGGAUCCAGUGGAUCAGAAAGGGAAAAAAAAGGUGGUGGUGGCAAGGAGCUGGAGUUCCCUGUGCUUGGAAAAGCUGAAGAAUGACACAGAUGGGGAUGAAGCUGAGCUGCGUGUCGGACAGCUGCAGUUCCAGAAAUGGCAGCUUCUCUACAAGCAAUGUCAUGUCCUGGUGGAGUCAACUUUCUUGGGACAGAGAGGUAUUGAGAAGUGUUUGUUUCAGCCUCCUCCUACCUCUGAGCUUCCUGGCAGAAGGACCACUGUAAGCAGCCACAGCUCCAACAAUGCAGCUGCUGUAGGGAAAGCCAAUGCUUGUGUUCAUCCAGCCACAAGGAGUGGUUCUGCCCUGCUGGUAUCAAAUAGGAGCAGCCUGUUCUGAAAUAAGCCCCCCCCAAAAAAACAAAGAAACCUAAACCAAAACCAACCCCCAAAAGGUACCUUGGCUAUAAUUAGGGGCUUAAAUGGCAACUCAGGUUUGAACGGCAAAUUGCUGCUUGACAAACAUCCCCACCACAAAUCCUCUGACAGCACAGAGAGUUGCUGCCAGGCAUCCAAAGCAGGAUGGGGCAGAAGGAUCAGUCUGUUCUCAUCUCUGCCCUCCUGACAAUGGAUGGAGGGCACCUUGUAUAGGAAUUGCUCAUGGCUGCUGCAUGCCUGAUGCUGACAGCACAGCUGAGGGAACACAGCACACUGAGCCAGGGCCACACGGUAGUUCUCCUUCGUGGCAGCUUUGCCCUGACCAGUGUGUCUGUUGAGGUGGGGCGCAGCAGAACAGGCCACAGUGGGACCCAGGCUGCAGAAGUUGCACUUGGGCUGUUGCAGAGAAUUCUGUGUCAUCACAUAGUAACUGCUGUGCAUGUGCCAGCAAGAGCAGAGCUAGCAUGAGUAAGCUUAUUAUCCAAUAAUCACACUUUCAUCUUUCUGGGUACAUAAACUGCUGAGGUAUCCAAGUCUCGCAGUGAGGCACAAUCACUGUCUGAAGAUGAGCAAGAAGGAACCGGGUCCUUUCCUCGUUGGGAACAUAUGUCUGAUUUGACACCAUUAUCUUUUACUGUUUUUAAACAGAAUAUCAUUAUUGAAGCACCUGUUGCCACUUAAUUACCUGUGUUUGAUUAAAAAGAUGCUAAAUGAUGUGCUUUUUAGGUACAAACUCCUUCAUUUUUAUAUCCUUUUAUGAUGAGCCUCUAUGUCCAUUUCCAAGGCUGGAUCAAAACUUCCCGUGUGGGCCAGUGGCUGAGCACCC